AGUGAACGCUGGCGGCAGGCCUAAUACAUGCAAGUCGAACGGCAGCACAGCAGAGCUUGCUCCGUGGGUGGCGAGUGGCGGGACGGGGUGAGGAAUACAUGGGAGUCUGCCCAGUCGUGGGGGAUAACGUAGGGAAACUUACGCUAAUACCGCAUGCGCCCUUCGGGGGAAAGCCGGGGACCUUCGGGCCUGGCGCGAUUGGAUGAGCCCAUGUCGGAUUAGCUAGUUGGCGGGGUAAUGGCCCACCAAGGCGACGAUCCGUAGCUGGUCUGAGAGGAUGAUCAGCCACACUGGAACUGAGACACGGUCCAGACUCCUACGGGAGGCAGCAGUAGGGAAUAUUGGACAAUGGGCGCAAGCCUGAUCCAGCCAUGCCGCGUGAGUGAAGAAGGCCUC
rnacentral:rRNA from 1 species